CCUACGGGAGGCAGCAGUGGGGAAUAUUGGACAAUGGGCGAAAGCCUGAUCCAGCCAUGCCGCGUGUGUGAAGAAGGCCUUCGGGUUGUAAAGCACUUUCAGUGGGGAAGAAAGCCUUGGGGCUAAUACCCUCGAGGAAGGACAUCACCCACAGAAGAAGCACCGGCUAACUCCGUGCCAGCAGCCGCGGUAACACGGAGGGUGCGAGCGUUAAUCGGAAUUACUGGGCGUAAAGCGCGCGUAGGCGGUCUGAUAAGCCGGUUGUGAAAGCCCCGGGCUCAACCUGGGAACGGCAUCCGGAACUGUCAGGCUAGAGUGCAGGAGAGGAAGGUAGAAUUCCCGGUGUAGCGGUGAAAUGCGUAGAGAUCGGGAGGAAUACCAGUGGCGAAGGCGGCCUUCUGGACUGACACUGACGCUGAGGUGCGAAAGCGUGGGUAGCAAACAGGAUUAGAUACCCGGGUAGUC
rnacentral:rRNA from 1 species